UCGGCUUUGUUCCUUCGCACGAAUGUAGAAAUUUUCACGAGUUGGCCGUUCCUUCGACGACAUUACCUUCCCGUUGGAUCGGAAGUUACGAAAUUUUUUUGAUCUGAAGCAACUACGGGAGCUCGCUUGCUGUGAAGGUAACUUUCUCCCUUUCGCGCGCUUCUUCGGCCAAAUCCCGUAAAUCCGCUGAACCAAAGGAUUUCGUAAAUCCGGAAUUUACCACGAAAAGAGGGGAUUUUCCGUCAACCGUGGCUUUCAUUUGCAUUUUAGGCCGUUUGGCUGGAUUUCGCCCAAAUCCGGCCUAAAUCCGCAUACCAAACAGCCCUUAUAGUGGCGUAUACUCUACCCCGCAACAAUUACAAAUCAGGCAGUUGAUACACGAAAUAUCGUGAAUAAUAUGACCACACGAAACAAUCUCAACCAAGCUAGGGUCUUCAGUCGGUCGAGGAGAAUGGCGAUGCCCUUCAAGAAGCGCUUCGGAAUUACCCUGCUCCAAGGCCUCGUAGCAACUAGAGUGAAGCAUCAUCCGCGACCAAAAGAUGCUCGACAGCAGGCGCUCUUUUCGUUAGACGCCAUCACAUUCGACUUCUUCAUGCUCAUCCGCGGCUUCUGUCCUUGAAGGCCUUUGCCAAAUGCUGUGCUCUAGGGAUAUUGUUCUUGCUGAUCACGCACUUCACUGCUUACCUUGCGAGUAUCCUGCUAAUUUCUUCUUUGAAUAUCCUGGACUGGACCUGGCUUCAACUUCUUCCUGCAUAUCAAUAUUUCUUAUUCAACUAGCAGGCAUAGCCCUAAAAAUUUGGAGGGACGCAUGAUUGCAUCAGGAAGUGAUCAAACCAAGCCGCAACCUCUAAUUAGAUACUGUGUUAGAAAAGAAUUACAUGCAAAUCCAUACAUGAAAUAUGAUCUCAUGAGGCAAUCAAAUAAUGUGAAGCUUUGGAGGGAAAAGGUGGAAGGAAAAAAAAAUAUUGUGGACAACUGCAAGUGUCCUUAAUUUAUUUCAAACUAAGGUGAAUUGAAAUUUGAGAAAUUUUCAUUCACAACGGCUUCCUGUACCUAGUUGCAAUUUCAGUCUUUUGAUGUUCUAUUUACAAGUGUUAAUGUUUGUAGAAUGUUGACCUUAAAUAUGUAAUGCAUGUUCUCAUUACCAGUGUCGA